rnacentral:rRNA from 1 species
UACGUAGGGACCGAGCGUUGUCCGGAUUCAUUGGGCGUAAAGAGCUCGUAGGCGGCUGCUCAAGUCGAAUGUGAAAACUCGAGGCUCAACCUCGAGCCUGCAUUCGAUACUGGGCGGCUAGAGUCUGGUAGGGGGAUCUGGAAUUCCUGGUGUAGCGGUGGAAUGCGCAGAUAUCAGGAGGAAUACCGGUGGCGAAGGCGGCAUCCUGGACCGACAUUGACGCUGAGGAGCGAAAGCUAGGGGAGCAAACGGG